rnacentral:rRNA from 1 species
ACGGGAGGCAGCAGUGGGGAAUAUUGGGCAAUGGGCGCAAGCCUGACCCAGCAACGCCGCGUGAGUGAAGAAGUAUUUCGGUAUGUAAAGCUCUAUCAGCAAGGAAGAAAAUGACGGUACGUGACUAAGAAGCCCCGGCUAACUACGUGCCAGCAGCCGCGGUAAUACGUAGGGGGCAAGCGUUAUCCGGAUUUACUGGGUGUAAAGGGAGCGUAGACGGCAAAGCAAGUCUGAAGUGAAAUCCCGGGGCUCAACCCUGGAACUGCUUUGGAAACUGUUUAGCUAGAGUGCAGGAGAGGUAAGUGGAAUUCCUAGUGUAGCGGUGAAAUGCGUAGAUAUUAGGAGGAACACCAGUGGCGAAGGCGGCUUACUGGACUGUAACUGACGUUGAGGCUCGAAAGCGUGGGGAGCAAACAGGAUUAGAUACCCUGGUA